GGUCCUAUGGUGUAAUGGUUAGCACAAGAGAUUCUGGUUCUCUAGAUCUGGGUUCGACUCCCGGUAGGACCU